UCUGCUACCCACAGGGUGAAGAGGAGAAACAAACUGUAGUUCAAGUAUGACUUAAAUCUACUUGUGCUGAGCAGCUGAAAGGCCUUCAACACCCUCUCUAGCCACAGUCAGCCUGAGGUUCACCAUGUGCAAAAUGAUGCUCUUCUAAAGGCAGACACACAGGCAGCCUUCAACUGCAGCCAAGCCCUGAGCUUGGUCUUAAUGCUCCCAAAGCAGGUAGGAAACCAGGCUCACAAAUGCUGCAGUGUGGCGGCAGCAGGAGAGAUCCAACACCUCCAGCCCACCCUGCCUCAGCCCUGGGGUCCUUUGGAACCAGAUAUAAGUGGCCACAUAAUGUGACAACCUUCGCAGCACCCACAGAACUCAGUCUCAAGUCUGCAGUAAGAGUUGCCAGUGUGCUGCCACUUCCUGGGUCCACUGAGUACAGUGCUCAGAGCUGCCCAGGAGAAUGAGAACGCCCUUUGGCCUCAGGUGUGUGCAUAAACGAAAUGCUCACAAUUUAACUGAAGAACCUAGUUGUGGCUCCCCCUAUCUGGGGGACUCCACAUUUAAAUAGAGGCCACAUUAGAGUAUACUACCUAGAAUGGCCAUUCCACUUAGGCCAAAGCCCAACUGUGUUAGUCAAAUUCUUUACCCUAUAGUAUACGAAAAUGUCCCAUUAUUUUACAGGGAUUUUUAAAACACUUUUGUGCCAGGCGUGGUGGCGCACGCCUUUAAUCCUAGCACAUGGGAAGCAGAGGCAGGCGGAUUUCUGAGUGAGGCCAGCCUGGUCUACAAAGUGAGUUCCAGGAUAGCCAGGGCUAUACAGACAAACCCUGUCUCGGAACCCCCCCCAAAAAAACAAACAAACAAACAAAAAAACUUUUGCUUAAAUUGAGACAAGAGUAGUAUUAAAAGGAAAAUACUAGGCCUGGUGGCACACACCUUUAGUCCCAGUUCAGGAGGCAGAGGCAGGUGAGUUGAAGUCAGCCUGGUCUAUAUAGUGAGUUACAGACCAACCCAUCUACACAGUGAGGCCAUUUUAAAGAAAAAACGAUGGAGCUGCUCCUUUAAAGUCUGUACUCUAAGCUGAUCUUAAAACUCUGUUUCAGAUGAUGCGUAGAAAGCCUACCUAGAACACAUUAGUCAAGUUUUGAUUAUCAGACAAACAUUGCUCUACAUCUUGAUUAAACUCACUGCCAAUAACAACCCGAGAGAGGCAGCAUAGAGAUUAAGAAUGUGAACUUUGGAGUCCCACUGCCGGCUUCAAAUCCCAGCACUGCACUUCCUAGCAGUGUGAUCUGGGACAGCCACUGAGGAAUGCCUGGGGUUCGGACCUGGAAAACGGGGCGAGCACCUCAGUGCCUUCCUCAAAGGGUUCUCAUGAGGAUCUACCGGCAGCCUGUGGUGAACCAAGUGCCAGCCCUCAAUGUUUCAGACUUGUUCCUGGGUUAGGGCAGCCCUCAUACCAGCUGUUCUAGCUGCAAUCCUCUUCUCUCCAUUCAGACUAAAGGUCAGAGAGGCCCUCCAUGCUGUCCACAAUGACCACCGUUUCCACGUUUCCAUGUCACGUCACUGUUUGCAUUUUCUGUAACAACUGUUUUCCAAUCCCUUUCUAGUAAUCUCUCAAUCUCCUCUCACCGGAAUGCACGCUCCUCCCUGAGGGACCUUGAUUUGUUUUAGGAUGGGCCUCACGACCUACAGUGCUUGUCACAUAUCUACUGAAAUUGCUCUAUGCUCUGUCACAAAAAAAAAAAAAACAAGACAAAAACUGUUCUAAGGGGGACAAGUACCACACACAGAACAUUACCCCCGUGUUCUGGAGCCCAUCAUUUGUCUAGUUUCUGCAAUCCAUCACUCCUAAAUUAGUAAUACACCACAGAGAAGAAAGCGCUCUGCACAGCAUCUGGGGGUCGCUGCCUCUUGCACCUGCAUGCCUCAAGAGUUGUUCCCUGUCAACCCUUCCAGACCCUGCCCCUCUGAGUCCUUCCCUCUCUGGGCCCCUCUCACCUUUGGGGGUGGGGUGGGAAAUGAUCAUCUUGGAUCAUCCCCAGCCCUUUCUCUAUGUUCUACCUCCACCGCAACCAGUUCCCCAACACACAACCUGGAUCUAAGGGGCUGAGUAUGGGUUUACUGAUGCUCUUCUGAGCACCUUAAUGAGGGUUAAAAAAAAAAAAAAAACUCACAUCAAAAAAACAGGCAGUUCCAAGACGUAUAACUAGUCUCUAAGUCUUCCCCCCGCCCCCAACAGGGUUGCUCCAUGUAGACCAGGCUAGCCUCAAACUCACAGCCUCUGCCUCACAUAAAGGCGUGCACCACCACCUCCUGGAUAGUAUCUGUUAUUAAGAACUAAGAAAGAAAAGCCACUGGGGGUUCUCAAUGUGGAAGUAUGAAGCCCUCUUGCACUGAUACCCUGCUAAGGGAGACAAUGUAGCCUUAUCUGCUCCACGCUGGAAGUACAGCCUGGAGGGCUGGACAUUUUACUGCCUUAAUGUCACCAUAUAAUCUAGACCCAUUUAACCAGCACCCCUUCGAUCCAUUCAGUAACUGUCUUCGCGCUCGGGCUUAAUUCCUACACGUGUGCCCCGAAACUGAACACGGUAGUGGGGUAGCAAGAGGACACCUAACACAUGCCGCCUGGAUCUGUGCAGGCAACAACAGGCCACCUUCCUCCACGACCUGGGGCCGGGGGGUCGGGGCGGCGCGCGAGCCGCGGCGGGCAGCGCUCAGCAGUCCCCUCGCGCACCCCUCUCGGAGAUCGGCCCGCCCCUGGCAACCCCUCGCCAGGCUCAAAGGCGCUGCCCGGCCCCGCCCGCCCGCCGCCCGCCGGCUCGCCCGUGGCCUUGACAGCCCAGAGGAAGGCGGUGGUGUGCCGCCCGACCAGGUCCGCGCCACCAGCCCACCCCCAGCACCUCGCAGCUCCGGUGCAGCCGAGCCGCGGUCUCCCUCACGGCUGCGGAAGGAGGAUGGCGGGCAGGGCGGCCGCCAGAGCUCGGCUCCGGAUCCGGGAAGCUGCACAGGCACUUCCGUUCCGUCCCGCGGCGCCUCCAGCCGCCAAGAUGGCCGCGGGGCGGGGCCCAAGCUCCAACCAUUUCCGCUUCCGGUAUGGACGCAGAGGCCGUUGGCGGGAGCGCUUCCCGGCGGAAGGACGGGGUUGGCGGAAACGUGCCGUGGUGCACAGGCGCAUUGACGUCCUCAGGCUCCGGAUCCGGCGCCGCUGCUUCGGAUGUUAUGGUCUCCUGGCCACGCCCCAUGGCAACCGGAGGCCAAUGGAAGGCAGCUUUAUGGUUGCUAGGGAAACUUUGGCGGCAAGAUGGAGGCAGCUGGCGAUCCCUACCAGGCUUCGCUCCAGCCGCGUCGGCACUCGCCGAGACUGCCGCCGCGAAACGGCUAUGGCGUAUAUGUAUACCCAAAUUCUUUCUUCCGCUAUGAAGGAGAAUGGAAGGGAGGCAAGAAACACGGUCAUGGGAAGCUAUUGUUUAAAGAUGGAAGUUACUACGAAGGCGAAUUUGUGGAUGGAGAAAUUACUGGGGAAGGCUGCCAGCACUGGGCCUGGUCAGGAAACACCUACUCUGGACAGUUUGUUUUAGGAGAGCCUCAAGGGCACGGCGUCAUGAAGUACAAAGCCGGAGGUCGCUAUGAAGGGGAGCUCUCCCAAGGCCUGAGGGAAGGGCAGGGGUUUCUGGAGGAUCAGGACGGGCAGGUAUACCAGGGUUCCUUCCAUGACAACAAGAGACAUGGCCGUGGGCAGAUGAUCUUUAAGAAUGGUGACAAGUACGAAGGUGAUUGGGUUCGAGACCAGCGUCAGGGACACGGGGUGCUGUGCUGUGCCGACGGCUCCACAUACAAGAGCGCCCCAGAGGCUGACUUUCCUUAUUCAGUCCUCAAGUCUGAUGAGCCCUGUGCCACAAGGGAAACUGAGGUCUGUCCCAAUGCUUGUGCUUGUCCGAAUGGGAGAUAAGAGAAACCGUGGAUUUCAUGGGCAAGAGAAAGGACUACACCAAUGCUCUUAGUGAGAAAUGUGAAGCUAUUGGCCAGGAAAACUGUCAAGCUACCAGGAGAGGCGAAAGAAGAAACAGAUUACAGUCGGGGCUGUCCUGGGACAGGGCUGGGCCUGGUUCCACCACUCCUGGGCUGAUGGCAAGCCAACUCCACCAGGAAGUAAGAGCUUAAGGCCCUGGGAUUGGCUUCUUGGCAAUUCCAGUUGUCACAGAUUUCUCAAAUGGCAGAUUGACAACUGGAAGGAGCUGGCCCCUGGAAGCAGGAUGAACCCAGCCCAGUUCAUGCAGAACUGGGAAGAAGGGUAGCCACAGAGCUACUGGGGGGAGGGGACUCCUGGAGGAAAUUGACCAGAUGCUGUGACCUCAGAGAACAAAACCCUACUUCUCCUGAGCCUUCAGCUCCCUCUGCCGACUGCUGACACUGUCCACUGACUAGGGAAAAAGGUUCAGGGGGCCUGGCUCCUUAAUGGAAAUGGAGUGGUGUAUGACAACUCCCACAGAACUAUAGGGCCACAGAGAACACUGCAUGGGUGCCCAGACCUGUAUACACAGGAUGCCCAGCCCUGAGUGCAGAACAGAAGAGUUAUGCUUGGGUAGAUCUCAGCCCACGCCUGAGUACGGUCCCUAUAGCUGUGAUAAAACAUCAUCACCAAAAGCAGCUUGGGAAGGAGAGGGCUUUUAUCACGUUACACUGCCUGGUAAAGGCCCAUCACGGGGAAGUCAGGACAGGAACCCGAGAUGGGAACCUGGAAGCAGGAACUAAAUCAAAGGCCUUGAGAGAACGCUACUUACUAGCUUGUUCCCCAAGGCUUUGUUCAGCUUUCUUACAGCACCCAGUACCACCAGAUGAGGGGUGAUACUUCCCACAGUGAGCUGGGCCCUCCCACAUCAGUCAGCCAUCAGCACUGUCUUCAGGUUAACGCUGUGGCAGUAUUUUCUCAGCUAGGAUUUGCUCUUUGCCAAUGAUCCUCUCUUGUGUCAAGUUGACAUAAAAACUGUCCCAUAGGACUGCUCUGGUCAGGGCUGUUGGGGGUCUGUGUGGACACUGCCCCCUGCUGGCCUAGAAUCUGCCUCUGAGCUGUGCCUGAGACAGUCUGCAUACCAUCUGUACCUGCUGUUGUGACCACUCACCAUUCUGGCUCCUCCCCGUCUGGGGGCUCAUCCUCAGAAGUCCUGCCUUGACAGCCUGUCCAAAGCAGGAUCAAUUUCCAGGUGCGAUGGGAGAGUACAAGGUAAUGAGGACCUAAAGGAGUCACUCACUUCCUGUCUGGCCUGCACACAAGGGUCUUGUUUCCAGGGAAGAAGACCAGGGCUGUCAAUCACCUCCUACCUACUAGAUACUUCCAAACCUUCCGCUCAUGGAUUCACACGAACUAUCCCACACUUCUGUGAAGGGACUGUUUGCCAUAUUUUAUAAAUGGGAAAACGGAGGCCCAAACACGGUUUCCCAGUCCAGAAAGGGGCAGAAGAGCUUGUGGCCUCAACACCCAGGCUUGAUCCAUAUACCUGACCCUCUUUCCCUGGGAUUUGGGAAAGGCCUUGCCCCAGUGGGUCCCUCCAGAACCCAUCACAUCAAUGAAUGAGCUGCCGUUGACAGCCCAGAAAGAUAACAUCACCACCACCACUUGGGCAGGAAGAAUAAUGAAAAGUUUUGCCCAGUUCCCGGAGGUGAUUCUGUUCCACAUGUCCUCAGACAUCCAGUAGGGCUUCUUCACUGCUGGCCACUAACCAUCCGUGGCUGGGGUUUGGGGCUCUGCCCAGGCCUUCCUUUCUGCAACCUGAAAUUUGUGGUGUGCCUCACUUUCAUCUGCACCAGCCUACAGAAUGUCCACCAGGGGGCAGUCAAGACCUGCUCACCAGCAGCAUGCCCAGCCUUGGAUCCUUGUUCCAAGUUUGGCUCUAAGGCAGGCAGCAGGGAGGCCUUGAAUGCCUAAGCAGUGCACACAAGACUGCCACACAGGCUAAAACUGCUCAGGUUGCCGUGGCUUCUCCUCCUGAAGUCAGAACCUUGAACUCCACAAGACUCACAAAGGUACCUUCCUCAGGAGUAGGGUUGGGGGUUGUGUAUCCUUCAGCUCAAUUCUCAAUAGCCCAGUUCCCAGCAUCCUGUGGCUGGACAGCAGGAGCAGUGUCCAGGGGAGGGGACAAAUCGGCCUCUGGCUUAGACGUGCUGACUGCACCAGAAAAACAAUAGCAUGAGCUGAAGCAGCCACAAAGGAGUGACCAAAGGACAGACGCACAUUCGGACAGAAAGGCCGCAAACCAGCCACUUUUUUUUUUUUUUUUUUUAAUUUUCAUGGGAAGGCUAAAGAACUUUCUUCCUGGAUCUUUUGGACACUGAACAGAAAAGGUACCCAGGUCCAAGAGGACAGGUGACGCCAUCUGGAAAUCAGGACUUAGACACCAUGGGUAUCCACAACUGCCGGCCUAACACAACUCUUACUGACCUGCGCUGCAGAGGCAGCAAGAGGUCUCACUUGCCGCCCAAGUGAGAGAAGGUAACCCUGGGCUGUCACUCAGCCCUCAUUAGCCAAGGGAGGCAGAGUUUCCUGAGGCUUGCUUAGCCAAUGACCAUCUGCACCGAGCUCUCCCACGCAUGGGCCACUACCUGCAUGGAGUGGGGACAUCAGCCAAGGGAGGCUGUGGGGUGGGAACAGUCAUCAAAUCUGCUUCCUCCGGGCACCACUGUUCUUUAUGUUGCCAUCAGUCACACACACAAACCAGAAGUGUACCAUCUCGUCCUGUUUUAAGUGUCCAGUUUGGUGGCAUUAAAUGCUUAAAUUACUGUGUGGCCAUUACCACCAUCGGUCCACAAUCUCUUCUAUGUAAACAAACAGACUGGCCCGUUUGACCCAGACUUCCCAAUCCCUGAGAGCCCUAGCACCCACCCCUCUUUUGUCUCAGUUACUCUGGCUCCUCCGGGGACUCCGUGGAUAGACUUGUUCCUUAGUGGCUGGCUGUUCUUGCUGAUCGUCGCAGCUUCAAGUCCAUGCUCACUGAAACACGUGCAGGAGGCUCCCGAUGGCCGAGUGGCACAUAUGCAUACAAGUCCCAUUUCCCCUCUUCAUGCAUUUCAGUGGGCUCUGGGGAUAGUGCUCUGAGCAUACACGUGCAGGCCUUUGGGUUUGUGGACCCAGCAGUGGAAUGGCUACACCAUGCAGUAGUUGCAUUUUCAAUUUUUUUUUGUGUGUGUGGAGCUGCCGCAUUUUUCCACAGUGGCUGCAUGAUUGAAGGAACCAGCAGGGGUUUUUAUUUCUGCACCCCCAACCCACACUUAUUUUCUGUUUAAAGCUACCAUGCUAAGGAAUAUGAGCUGUUUGGGAGUGGGCAACUGAUCGCUGAACUCUGGACACUGCCAUUGCUGUCAUCACACAGAGCUGGCUUUUGUUCCUGCUUGACAUUGCUUCAGUGGCUCUCAGUGCUCUGUCCCUCCCAGCUUGUACUGUCCUGUCACCUCGGGGUAUGUGCCUGUUAACCACUAGCAGGGAAACGUCUCACCUUUUCCUUUUGACCCUCGGGCAGAUGAGGUGGGUAUCUACUAGCUCUUCCGUCCUCAGGUGUCUCUAUAGAGCAAGCUCCACCUUCAGAACAGCCCUCAUCCCCUAGACCCGCCAGCAUUAGCGUCUUGUGUAUCCUGAGAAGACUACAGGAUGGUCAGCCUUUGUCUGGACAGCUCUGCUUUUCUGAUCUUGACCCAUCAGAUUUCUCCUUCAGCCAAUAUUCCCAUGUUGUGAGGAAGAAAUCAGUCCAGACCCUGAGCAGAUGUUCUAGGUGGAGUCUGCAGCUCCCAAGGCAGCUGGCGUGGCGGGCAUAGUGAUAUGGUUCCAUCUGUGUCUUUGGUGGGCACCUAGAGUGGUACACUGAGCAAGUCGAUGUGGUGGAGGCCUCUCCCACAGCAAGGACAUGUCUGUCACCUAAAGCUCUGCUUUCCUGAAAAUCAACAUUUCCCAUGUUGGUUUUCCCAGAGGGCAACCUGCUGUCUGGCACACCUGUGCAUACAUGAAACAGGUGGCUAGCCUUAUGGGUUCCUUCGCCUGCUGCAGUUCCCAGCUUCCCCCUGAGCUGGCAUGUCUGAAGAGUCCCUGCAUGUCAGCAGGCAGAUGAAGACGGGCUCUGUGGCUACCUGCUUGCUUCCCAUAUCACUCGUCUGCCCUCCUUGGGCCAGUAAGGCCCAGAGCAGGAUGGAAAGGCCAUCGACCCAGGACAUGUCUCUGCCACUGAAGAUCGACAGAAGAGUGUGGAGCACCCACGUCCAGUGCUGGCCCUUCAGCAGGUCAGCUGCUCCCCACAAUGGCCCCCUCCAGGAACCGUCUCAGCAAUGGUUACUGCUGCACUAGUCACUGCAUCUCCAGGUCCCCACAAAAUAUUCCUACUGAAUACUCUGAAAUCCUAGGAAAAUAGUCAAGACCAGUCAAAUCCAACACCCACAGGCCUACUGUUACUGCGAUGCAAGUGAAGCUGCCCGCCAUCCCUGCAAGCUGGAAUCAAGUCCAUAACAGUUGCAAGCCCAGGAGGAGAGCCCAGAUAACCCCUCACAGGUGGCAUCACCCGAGGGGGGCAGAGGGUGCGAGGCUUAGCCGUGGUCGGUGAUAACUGCCUCCUCCACACCAUAACACCGUGGAGGCUAACUCAGAAAGGGCCUGACAUCUUGGGAGCCCACUCAAAAGCGGCCUGGGGCUUGUUCACCCCAGGAAGUACCAAGAUGAGCAAGAGCAAAGAGGUGAACUUCUGGUCAGGAUGGACUUGCACCCAAACCCACGUCUAUGGCAUGGCCACCACAGAGCCUCUAUUAAUCCAAGUAUAGGGAACAAAAGAGCAUGGGUUAACUUGGAGAUGUGUCCCACAGUGAGGGGGGCCGAGGGCUCCUUUCCUGCAGUGCAUCACACUUAGUGUGCUCACCGUCGUGAGUGGGUGCAGCUGUGGCAGAGCAGGGCGGGAGUGAGACUGAGCUUCACUCACUGGGGUCACUGUAGCAGUCACAGAGCAGAUGCCUCCCUCUUAUCCUGGGUGUCCUUUUACACAUACUAGGGUGUUUGCUUGGUUUGGGGUUCACAUCUGAGCCCUAAGUGACUCUUCUCUGGUUGGCUAUGUCAUUAUCAUCUUCAUCACCUUCUUCUGUCCCAUGAGUCACAUCCAUCCUCCCAUGGGUGCUGGGCAGAGGAGGGCAGCAGGUGUCUUUAUGCCCUGGGGCUUUGUGGUGAUAGUGUGGUGCCCUGCUCCACCUCCCUGUGACUGAGACUCCUAGACUGGCUCCACACUGCAUAUCGCCCGGACAGCCUUCAAGUUUCUCUGGGGAAUCAGAGUGGGAGGCCCAGGGGGAAACUAGCAGACAAGGACCUGUCCGUCCAUGAGAGGGGUGUCGUUAUCUACAGGACACUGCCUGACACUCCAGGGGUUACGAUGUUUUAACAAUAUGUGUCGCCAAGCAUAGAGUUUCUGAUACCAUUCAGGAAAAUCCAUGGGUUAGCAUCGUGAGUCUGUUACACACGUCUCUUGUCAUCCAAGUGCUGUCCUGAAGCCAGGAAUACCAAGCUCCAGCUCUUAGCAUUUGGGCUGUGGUUCUAGCGUGCAGUCCACUGACUCCUACCUCGGGGACUAUGACAGAUGUUAUGAGUAGUGAGCUCGGCUGGCUGGGCUGAGAGGCUCCUGUGGCAGGCUAGUGCCGCCCAAGGCUCUCCACCCACCACUGCCCAGGCCAGCAGGCACUUCCACAGCAUUUCUUAUCACUGUCAGUGCCCAGGUCCUCCUUUCUGGUCGCAUGCGCUGUCCUGCCCAUGCCCCUUCCUCCUCCUUUCUGAAAGCCCACACUGGCACUUUUCAGAAGCCCAAGUGAGCACAAAGAGAAAGGACAAACUGUCAUCCUUCAUCCUAUAGACUCAGAGCCUGGGACACAUUUGACACAUUAUCAACCAGAGCUGAGGUGGCCCCUCCCCAAAGAUCCACUCAGAACAUUCACCAUCAGCCAGCCGUGUGCUGCUGUCAUCCUUGAGAGAGUUGGAACAGAAAGGAAAGAGAUUGGAUUCAGGGAGGACAGAAGUCACAGGAGGAGGAAGAGGAAGGAAAGCUCCUAGGGAGAAGCCAGCAAACUGGAGCACCAGCCUGCUCGGUGGAGCACCUGAACUCUCAUCACAGAGGAAGCCCGUGCUGGGGGCGGGUUCACCUCCCAAGCUUCCAAGCAGGACUACCAAGGCCUCACUAUAUUUUGAUGUAGCCUGUGAUCUCUAGAGCCAACCUGAGAGCUACCCUCCUAACCAGCUCCGUCCACAUCUGCAGUGACAAGAAAGACCAAGUGGAUACUCUGAGCACAAGACUGAGUAAUCAAGCAAAUGGUGGGGUGGAUAGGACACUGUCAACUGAGCCUGCACCAUCCAGGAAUGCAGCUGGUCCAUAGCCUUGGGAAUGUGGGUCUUCCUGCACUACCUGAGUUUGGGAUGUUUGUGCUGGAGGAGUGGAGCCAUCCCCAAGGCACCUUGGGAGGCCUCACUCGGGUGACUUGGCAACUCUGACGAUGAAAACCCCCUCCACAUCCCAGAGGGGCUUGUACCUGCGUGAGCGAAUGAGCAUGCCCCUGGCCACGUGCUCCACAGCUGGAUGCUGACCUCUCUUAAACUGAGAGGGGCCCCUAGGGCUGCCUGUUGUUUGUGAAUGAGGUUUAGAGACAUGAGAUUUUCAGGACCAGCAUCCGUGAGCACCUACUCUCCUCAUCUAGCCAGAGGCCUCUCUUCGAACUUGUCUCUUGAGAUCCAGCCAUUGAUUCUGUGGUGGCUGAGCUUCCUCCCAGGUUGUGGGACUCUGAACCCACUAGGUAGGGCUUCGACCUUCUCACCGUCUUUGCUACCACGGCCCUCUUUGCUUCUUGUCCUUAGUGAACCCUACUACCCACUCUCCUACCUUAUUUGCAUUCUCAGAGACUGGCCAGUGCUCCCCUUCCAUGACUGACUAUGUGGAAGCCCAGGCUCCAUGCAGAGGGCGGGUCCUGGACAGGGUAGUGCAUCUGUCACCCAAUUAACUUCAGCAGGAAGAGUGAACUGAACCAAGCCUGUUGUUGGCUAAUUUCCCCCAAUACAAGCAAUUCAUAAUCAAAUAAAACACCAUUUGAUCUUGAAGUUUUCUAUGGAACCAACCCUCCCGCCGUUCCGCACAAUUGCUUGUGGAUCCAGGAGUACUACAGAGGAGGCAGAGUGGGGGACAGUGGCACAGUGAUGUCUUCAGUGGACUCGGCAGCUUGGUCCACUGCUCAGGAGUCACCUACUGUGGGAUGUUCAUUAACGGCCACCCAGCAGGUGAGAGUGGCCGGGUCCUGAAGAUCUCAGCAGGAGUCAGAUAUGUGCAACUCCCAGAAUACUCUGAGGUCAGCUUUUUCAAGAUGGAUGAAGACUACAUGGAGACACCCAUCCAGACCCCAUUUGGGUUCCAGUGCAUUUCCUACCCCCUGUCUGUGCCCAUGUCCUGGGGGCCAGAGCCUGGGUCUACUGUGGAAAGUGCCAGAGCUGACCUGCUACUCUCCAAGAGAGACUCAGAGCCUGUGCUGGACUCAGGAGCCUUCCAUGGCCAGGGAGACACCCUCAGCAUCCUGCCAGCCAGGAGACACAAACCCUGCUGUCAGCAAGUGGACCACGGCUGUGCCGAGUUUGUGGACAUCCUCCUCGGAGCCCCUCCGCCUGGCAUGCAGCCUUACCUGUUCCUGCCCGGCACGCUGGAGAAGACUCUCGGCAGGCCUAAAGGUGGCCCAAGUUCCCCAGAGGUGCUGCCCACUGCCCAGGAACCUCUAAAAGGCACCAACAGGCCUGAUGGGACCACAGUAGAGCCACCGACAGCUGCAUAUCUAGGGGAGUAUGUGCUCAUGGUCUGUGAUGUGACCAGCCCUCCCUUCCUGGGCCACAGGCUGCCCACCACCUUCAAACACCUGCGGAUCUUAGCCAAGGGGGACACCCACUGGCCCCAUGUCCCUGAAGAUCACCAGAAGCUCUAAGCUAGCGGCUACUCUUGGCUGUUGGACAUAAAGGAGCCAGCAAUACCCUCAUGGGAAGGCCAGCCUUCCCUGAAUGGAGAUUGAUGCUGCUUCUCCCAGGGACCACAUCCUCUCUAUUCCUAAACAACCUGAGCGUUAGGACUGCCCACGUGAGCCCCACAGCUACUGACGUCAAUAAAAUUCUAAAUACCAA